CAGCAAAGAGGACCUGAGAGACACAGCUUGACAGGUGCCCACGUGUCUGAGCACAUCUGCCUGCUGAGGGCAGGUGCCCACGUGUCUGAGCACAUCUGCCUGCUGAGGGCAGGUGCCCACGUGUCUGAGC